CUGCUGUAUUGUUUUACCAUAUUUUGUUGUUUUACAUGGUGUUGAACUGUAUUUUCCUUUUCAGCUUAUUUUUAAUUUAAAAAAUGUUUAUUCUUUUAUAUAGAUUUUAUUCUAUUCCAUUGUGCAAUUUUAGGUUCAUAGCAAAAUUGGGCAGAAAGUACAGUGAGAUCCCUGUAUCCCCUUACCCUCAACUUAUUUUUUUUCUUUCUUUUUCUUUUUGAGACAGGGACUCAUUCUGCUGCCCAGGCUAGAAUGCAGUGGUGUAAUCAUGGCUCAUUGCAACCUCCACCUCCUGGGCUCGAGUGAUCCUCCCAUCUGAACCUCCCCAACUAGCUGGAACCACUGGUGCGCACUACCACAUCCGGCUAAUUUUUGCAUUUUUUGUAGAGACAGGUUUUCACCACGUUGCCCAGGCUAAUCUCAAACUCCUGAACUCAAGCGAUCUGCCCACCUCGGCCACCCAAAGUGCCAGGAUUACAGGAGCAGAAAUUUGCAACCUCCUCUUUGCCGCAACACACCAAAAGGAGCAGAAUCAUUGACUCUUAGUAGUUCUCAGCUGUGAUGCAACAAAGCAUUUCAAAACCUCUAGCUGAAUGCUAAGACAAAGGCUUCUCAUUGUGUGAAAGCUGAAGGAUCUCUCCCUGCAUUCCCUUCAUGGGCAUCUCUAGGCUACUUGGCCUCAUGGAUGCUUCAGGCUCUCCAGUGGCUUCAGAGAUCCCUAGUUUCCAGCAUUCCCCCUCCUGCUGCAUGUCUCAGUCUAACUGGUCAUUGAUAGUGGCAGGAGACAGACAAAUUCCUAGGCCGACAGGGUUGGGUUCCUGGUGAAACCCAGCCUUCAAAUCAAAGACAAUUUAAAGCCUGAAAACCGACCUGCUGAUUCCAGAUAGAGUCUACAACCAGAGACACGGCUUUACCUCCUUCUCCAGAGGAUGCAACAAUAAGGCACCAUCUUGGAAGCAGAAAGCAGCCCUCACCAGACACCAAAUCUGCCAGCACCUUGAUCUUGGAUUUCCCAGACUCCAGAACUGUGAGAAAUAAAUUUUUAUUUUUUAUCAAUGAGCCAGUCUAAGGUAUUUUGUUAUAGCAACGCAAACGGACCAAGAUAAUUACCUUUUUUUACUAGAAUAUUUGUUACCUGAGCAUGAAGUUUUAUCUUUCUUUACUGCCUUUUACAUAGGAGGUAAUCAAAUGUGUCCUGAAUUCAGGUUAUUAAAUUAUAUAAUGAAUUAGAUUAUAUUGCCACUGUGUUGUCUCUUUUCACCAAAAUCUACUAAUAAAUAGUUAUGUUAAGAAAUUAAAUAUAUUGCCAGGUGCGGUGGCUCACGCUGUAAUCCCAGCACUUUGGGAAGCUGAGGCGGGCGGAUCACAAGGUCAGAAGUUCAAGACCAGCCUGGCCAAGAGACCAGCCUGGUCAAUAUGGUGAAACCCUAUCUCUACUAAAAA
rnacentral:lncRNA from 10 species